CAGUAGCCGCGGUAAUACAGAGGGUGCGAGCGUUAAUCGGAUUUACUGGGCGUAAAGCGUGCGUAGGCGGCUUUUUAAGUCGGAUGUGAAAUCCCUGAGCUUAACUUAGGAAUUGCAUUCGAUACUGGGAAGCUAGAGUAUGGGAGAGGAUGGUAGAAUUCCAGGUGUAGCGGUGAAAUGCGUAGAGAUCUGGAGGAAUACCGAUGGCGAAGGCAGCCAUCUGGCCUAAUACUGACGCUGAGGUACGAAAGCAUGGGGAGCAAACAGGAUAGAUACCCCAGUAGUCCCUGUCUCUUAUACC
rnacentral:rRNA from 1 species